rnacentral:rRNA from 1 species
UACGUAGGGUGCAAGCGUUAAUCGGAAUUACUGGGCGUAAAGCGUACGCAGGCGGCUUUGCAAGACAGGUGUGAAAUCCCCGGGCCUAACCUGGGAACUGCAUUUGUGACUGCAUGGCUAGAGUUUGUCAGAGGGGGGUGGAAUUCCACGUGUAGCAGUGAAAUACGUAGAUAUGUGGAGGAACACCGAUGGCGAAGGCAGCCCCCUGGGAUGUGACUGACGCUCAUGUACGAAAGCGUGGGGAGCAAACAGG